CCUGAGGAGCGCUGCAGCGGAUCCUCCGUCAGGCUCGGGGAUGUACACUUUUAUAACGGCGCUCGCCCU
rnacentral:ncRNA from 1 species